AGAAUUUUAAAGAUCCAUGAGUUUGAGACACGAUCCUUUUGGUGGUAUUAGAGAGAGAGAGAAGCAGUGUUCGUUUCAAGCUGGAAUCUUUCUAGAAUGAAACACGAAAGGUCAAACGAGUAUUGUCGGAGAUUUUUUAAAGUUGGGCCUUGGGCCUGUAAUUGAAAAAAUCAUAAAUAAAAUCAAAUCAAGUUUUUGAUUCACUAGAAACUGCAAAUAUAAGGCCUUAUAUUGUCAGGAUCUAUGUAUUUAGGUUUUUUGUUGACAUAAAAAAAUGUUAUUAUAGUUUAAACAAUGCUAUUACUAUUGUUUAAACUUUCCAAACACAAAUAUACAAAUCAAUUUCCAUGUAAAAAUAUAAACUACAACCUUUUCUGUGACAAAAAAACAAUAAAAACAAAAUACCCCAAAUGUUUUUAUUAAAAAAUUAUAUGGACAGAUUAUUAUAGAAAAUUAGUUGGUUUUGAAGUUUUCUUUGUUAUAUCCUUUUUUCUGGAGUCUAAAUAUAAACUAACAAUUUCCUAAUUUUUCUCAUUCAAGUUUUAAGCUACAUUGAUUUAAAUAUUUACUUAUUUUCUUCAUCUCCUAUAAAUUAAUCUACUCUUUUCUCAGUUAUUUGUAAAACCAUUUAAUACUCUAACAUUGAAAAUCUCUUCAAUUCAUUCGUCUUCAAUCAUCAAUAUCUACCAGUAUUCAAAGGUCAGAUUUUCAAAUUGUUAGCGAGAAAGUGAAAUUUUUUUCUUCAAUUAUCUUCCAAGAUGGAGAGAAAAAAAUAUGAAAAAGAUGACAUAGAAGCUACACAUGAAGCUGAUGAUUUAGGUGAUGUUUCAACAAAGGCAAAUCAAACUUCGCAAUAUCAAGAUUGGAUGGAAGUUAAUAGUAAGAACAAAGAGAAAACAAUGAUUAACCAUGAAAAUAACUCCAACACAAGCGAAUUGUUUUAUCUGAGUUUUCUUUUAAACAAGAACAAAGUAUCAACCAGCUACACAGAUAUACGAACUGUUAAUGGAGUUUUGUAUCCUACCUUUGAAGAUGCUUAUAAUGCUCUUUUUAUUUGAACUACAAUUUUAUCUUUAGAGAUUUUUCAAUUUCUCAGUUAUUUAGCUCCUUAUGUAGCUCCUAUAUUCGAUUAUAUUCAUGCUUACGUA